GAUGAACGCUAGCGAUAGGCCUAACACAUGCAAGUCGAGGGGCAUCACAUGAGGCAGCAAUGCCGAUGGUGGCGACCGGCGCACGGGUGAGUAACACGUAUGCAACCUGCCUUCAACAAGGGGAUAACCCGUUGAAAAACGGACUAAUACCCUAUAAUACAGGGGUCCCGCAUGGGGAUAUUUGUUAAAGAUUGAUCGGUUGAAGAUGGGCAUGCGUUCCAUUAGCUGGUUGGUGAGGUAACGGCUCACCAAGGCAACGAUGGAUAGGGGAACUGAGAGGUUUAUCCCCCACACUGGUACUGAGACACGGACCAGACUCCUACGGGAGGCAGCAGUGAGGAAUAUUGGUCAAUGGACGCAAGUCUGAACCAGCCACGUCGCGUGAAGGAAGACGGCCCUACGGGUUGUAAACUUCUUUUGCAAGGGAAUAAAGUGGGCCACGUGUGGCCUUUUGCAAGUACCUUGCGAAUAAGGAUCGGCUAACUCCGUGCCAGCAGCCG
rnacentral:rRNA from 1 species